GGUUUCUUGGUGUAGUGGCUAUCACUUCGCCUUUUCACGGCAAAGUUUGCGAGAUCAAUCCUCACACUUUUUG